CCCGAUAUAGAAAUCCCAAUGUGGAGUGCAACCCACUAGCUUCCCUCUCUUUCUUCUUUCAUGGGAUUCAGAAGCACUAGCUUUAGUUCUUUUCUCUCUCAAAAUCUCUUUCAUGGUUUCUCUCAGAAACGUGGUCUGGUCAAGGUGAGGCUCAAAUGGGUGAAGAACAGGGGCCUAGAUCACAUAAUCGACAAUGAAACCGAUCUAAAAGCCGUUUCCCUUAUCAAAGACGCCAUUAAAAGGAGCUCUUCAGGUUGCUUGAGCUCUACUUCCUUCUCUGAUAGGCAAAAGCAUUUGGGUCUCACCAUACCAGUUCUUAGAUUCAUUCGAAGAUACCCAACCAUUUUCGAAGAAUUUCGAGGACUCAAAUACAAUGUCCCAUGGUUUAGAUUAACCAAGACUGCUCUUUUACUUGAUGAACAAGAGCAAAGAAUCUAUAAAACUCAUGAACCUGAUUUGGUAGAGAGAUUGUGUAGGUUGUUGAUGAUGCUUAGUAGUAGGAGCAUUCCUUUACAGGCCAUAGAUUAUCUAAAGUGGGAUAUGGGUCUUCCUUAUGACUUUGUUAAGACGAUUCUUCCCAAUUAUUCUGAUCAAUUUCGAAUGAUUAAGCAACCCAAUGGUCGAUUGGCCAUUGCGUUGUCUCGGUGGCGCGAAGAAUUUGCAGUAUCUGAGUUGCAAAAGAGGAGUGAGAAGCUUGAGACGAGUUCUUCAUAUAGAGGGUUUAAGAAAGGUAUGAGCUUGGCUUUUCCAUUGAAUUUUCCAAGAGGUUAUGGUUUACAAAAGAAGGUGCAAGCAUGGAUGGAUGAGUUUCAAAAGCUUCCUUACAUUUCACCUUAUGAAGACUCAUCAAAAAUUGAUCCAAAUAGUGAUUUAAUGGAGAAACGGGUUGUUGGGGUGUUACAUGAAUUACUAAGUCUGACAAUUCACAAGAAAACCAAGAGGAAUUACUUGAGAGCAAUGAGAGAAGAAAUGAAUUUGCCCCACAAAUUUACUAGGAUUUUUACCAGGUAUCCUGGUAUUUUUUAUCUAUCUCUAAAAUGUAAGACUACCACUGUUGCACUUAAAGAAGCAUAUCAAAGAGGAAAGCUUGUUGAUCCCCAUCCUCUUGUGGCAAUAAGGGACAAGUAUUUCUAUGUGAUGAGAACGGGGGUUAUUUAUAGAGGUAAAGGACUAAAGGAGUUGAUAUCUCCAAGACAGGAAGCAGAUAGCUCAAGUCUUGACAAUGUGGAUUUCGAUACCAGUGAACCAUAUGAAGAAAUUUCAGGAGAAGAUGGUAAUGGUCAUGGUGAGUCGAGUGACGACGAUUGAAGUUAUGGAGUAGAACAUAAUGAGGACUGAGUGUUAGAGCUGUAAUUUUACGUUUGGUCUAGGUUUUGAUUUGUUAUCAGGGCUUAAGGGCCACAGGUGUAAAGCCCAUUGUUAAAAAUGAAUUUACCUACUGAAAAGUAGAAAUUUAUAACUUAUGAUAUUUUCUGUCUUCUUUGAUUGAUAUUUUUGUGCAUUUACUAGCCAUAAUUAUGUAACAUUCACUCCACCCUUCUUUGUUGAUGAAAACAAUUUAGUUUUAAGUAUGUAUGGAAAGAAGACUUUGGUUGAGCUUGUUAGAAUUGGAUUUUUGUGACAGAGUUAUGCCCCAGAGAAGCUCUGUUCUUGCAAUAGAAGAGAUGGACUGUCAAACUUCAUCUAGGUUACUCACAUGGGCUUUGAUAUUUGUAUUCUUUCUUGCUCUGAUUUUCUCUUACUUUAAGUGAAUAAAAUUUUGGCUUUGAACGCCAAAUUUUCCCUAAUUGGUAUUAUUUUAUGAAGAGAAUGCAUUUGUCAUUGGCUUGAAAGUAAUCUUCAUCAGGUGUGCAGUACCUUAGAUAUUUGGUUCCUUUGAAAUUCUUUAAUGUAUUUCCCAUGCAGAAACAAUUGUCUUGGAGGCAAACCUAUGCACUUCUAAAUCAAAGUACGAAGAAGUAAUCCCUUCGUGAACCAAUAUUAUUCCAACUAUAGAUGGACACUGUCUAGGAUGAUUCAUCUUGUCUAACAAUCAGCUUGGGGACAGCUCUUGUGGCUUUCCUGUUGUUAUUUGGCUUCUUGUUAAAGGCAGUAAUUUGUUAAUCAAACUCAUCACAACCAUUGUCAUUAUUAACCAUUUUCUGGAAGCACCAUCUCAAGCUGAUUUAUUGGGGUGGUUAUAGAGCAACAAGACAAGUGGUGAAAUCACCAUUCUCCUUCUCUCUUCAAACUUGAUCCGAGAUUACUCAAACCAGGUACUCCUGCUAUACUGAUCUUCGCUCAAUUCCUUCAAGUUUUGAUUCGAACAACUCUCUCUCUCUCUCACUCAUAUGGUGGACUACGUGGGCAGAAUUUGUUUACCUGAAUCGGGUUUCUACCAAACUCAUCUUCCCAUUAGAUUUUUAAGGUCUCCUUGAGCUUUUGGAGUAGGGUAUCAUGUUCUUGAUUUGGCCAUUUUUGACUCUUGGCUCUUUUAUUUCACCAUUUCUUCUCUGUCCUAUUGAUUGUGCCAUUGCUGUCUCUCUCCAUAGUUCAAAAUCAAGUAAUACAUGGGUUCAAAUUCGUUUCUCCCAUGUGGGUUUCUCCAACUUAGUGCUUGGCUAUUGAUAUGGUAGAUGGGUCAUUGCAUAUAACUCAUUUUGUCCUAGUUUAACUUCUUAGGACUACUUUCAUGGCUCUCACUAGCGCUCAUCUGCAUAUUGAUUUGGAGCUCUCUAUCGUACCUUAUUGAGAUUUAUUGGAAUUUGGUCCUCUUUCUCUAGACAGUUAUUUGGACUAUAUUGAGCAGAUACACUGUGAUCAAAGAUGGCUAGCAAUCAUCAUCCUUGUCAUGAUGUUGUUGCUUCAGCCCUAACCACUCCACUUCCAAGACCUGAAAAAGGACUCAUUCCCCUUGCUAUCUCUUCUCCUUCUACAACAAGGUUUUCCCCUAAAAAACCAAUAGAUUCAAAUCCAAAAGGCCCUCUACUCCACCUGCUUUCUCUUCUCCUGUAACCAGAUUUUCACCUCAAAAUUGACUCAAUUCAAACCCAAAAGACCAGCCAAUCCCUUCUUUUGCAACCAAGUUUUCACCCCCAAAACCCAUCCGUUCAAACUUAAAACAUCAAAGUUCCUCCUCAAUGAGACGCCCCUCUUGAUAAUCUCAAAAUUCCUCAAGAUCGAAGCUUUUCGACCCCCUCCUCACUCCUCUACUGAAUAAUAUAAUGAGGGACUUGGGGUCAUAAAAAAAGGCAUGGUAGGAUAGGUUUUUAUUUGUUGUGCAUGGUUUACGGAUACUUUGGUUAUUUCCUGCUCAUUCUUCUUAAUUGCACGUGUUUUGUUUGUAGUUAUUGUUAUUUUAUUGUUAAUUUUGCGCUUAUUGAGCGCAAUGCUAUUACAGAAAUUGUGAAAGGACUAAGGCCAGUUAUUCAAAAUGGAUAUGUAAAUGGUUUGAAACCCUGUAUCAUCCCUCAACUAUAACCAAAAAGCCCCUGCACUCAAUAUCUGUGUACGAACUUUGAGUUUGUAUUAGAUUCUUUAAUGACAGUCGGUCACUCUUUUCUAACACUGAUUCUUAAGCAUUCAUUUCCUAUCCUUGAUCUGGCCUCUAGGUCAGGAUCCACUUGACUGCAAUUUAGUCUAUCCGAGCAUUGAUUUUAUUUUUUAUUUUAUAUAUUUUUUCACUUGGAAUUUUCAAAUAUUCUUUGUUUUGUUUCUUAUUAUUAUAUAACCAUUUUCUGAUCAUGAGGCAUGUGGUCUCACACUAUGGAUUAAGUGCUUUCUGUUUAAAAAAUUUAGUAAUGUACAUGGCCCAAGUUUCCACUCAAAAGUGCAACUUGUCUCUCACACUAAAGCAAUAAUGCCUCUCAUUUUAUUACUCUUAUAUUAUCAAAACUAGCCAAAACCUUUUUUUUUUUCCUUUUUGGUACAUUUUUUAAAACCUAAUUAUGAAAUGGAUGACUGAGUGAACAGAAAAAGAAAACAAGGAAUUAAAUUGGAGAUACCGGAAACAAAGCAGUUCAACUAAGUAUGACACAAGGUUUCAUUCUCUAGUUUUUUAUUUGAGAAGAUUUAGAAACCAAGCAAUCACCCGAGAGAAUGUUUCACAUUAUUCAAAACAAAAAUAUAUGAAUUCAAAAUUAUUUGCCACGACUAACAUUUGAUGCUGGAACAGGGAUUCAAUCACUUUGAACUCUAUAAUGCAUCUUAUAAUCCCCUCAACAAAAAGAUUGCGAAGCUGAUGGAGUCGGACACAGCCUCGUAAUGCAGUUGCUCAUGAGCAAAGGCCUCUGUUUGGUGUCUGUGACCUUUAAAGAUUCUCACACUACUGAGUAGGACUGUUUCUUUUUUCCCCCUUAUGCCCAUGACCUAGGCAAAUUUUGCACACAAUCAUGUAAAAACCUUUUCUUUUCCCCUUUUGCAAAAAACUAGUUGAACCAAGGUCUUUGGCCAAUUAAGUACCCAUUGGUCUGAUCUGGUUACAUGUGCUUUUGGUUUUUGGGUUUUGCGCAUCUAUGUUUCUCUUGUAAAAGGUUACAGCAAAUUUAUUGGGUUUAUCUCUUAUGCCAAUAAACACUUAAAAAACUUUCAUAUCAUGUUUAUUUAACUUAAUCACUGAAAAAGAAAAGAACUCCGGAAAGAAAACAGUGUUUGAGUUCUUGAAAACCUUCUUUUUCUCCAAGAACAUAUAUCUAAUGAGAUGAUAUUUUAUGUAAAGGUUGAUUCCCAUUAUUAGUCUGGGCUAUGAUUACAGAGCUGAUUUAUAUUUUGACUUUUGAGUUUUUAUAAGUGACUUGAACCGAAUGAAGGUACGGUACUUGUAUGCUGAUCAAGUGCAUGCUACUGUCUUCCAAGUAUAAGCUAUCUUUAUGUACCCAAAAAAAAGUUUAAGCUAUCUUUAAUUCCCAUGGCAACUAUUUUUUAUAUCAGAUGAUAAUCUAAUGGAUGCCUAUUACUCUGGUAAAUGCAUGCUUAUUAUACUUUGGUUACUAUUUUUUAUGUCAACUACAAUCGGAUGGAACAUGAACAUGAACUUUCUUGCCUCAUUAGCUGCUAAAGUCUUCUUUUUUCUCUCUGCUCUUUCUCUCUCCAACUCUUUUGCUAAUAUAUUGACUUCCCGCUAGCACCAGCAGAAAUUAAUGUCCAACAGCAUGGACAUUAAUACCUGUAACAGUGAAACCAUGACACUAUUACGAGUACCAUGCUGUUGGCAAAACCAAUUCCAACUGACCUGAAAAUUUUUGUAUUCUCUUUAUAACUCAGUGGUAGUAGGUUCAAUACAGUGUUCUUUUUUUGGUUUGUGCUAUUUAAGGCUUGUGUGAUCAUAUGAGGUAUGUUUUCCCUUUUGUAAUGUGUUCUGUCUCAUUUUAGAUUGUAAUAUUCUUUCGGAAUUGGACAAGGGGAUGUAUUUGUCUUUGAUGCAUGCCUCUCUUCUUUGGAUAUAUAGCUUUGUAUCUCGCUGCUUGUUUCUUCUCUCUGCAGAAGCAAGAAAGGAAGUAGCACUGUCGUUCCCUCUCCUUUAUCAACCGUGGACAACAAUGAGGAAGAAUGAAAUUAAAGCAUUAUAGCAAUGUAUUGAAGCAAUUUCAUCCUCUUUCUUUCUCUAGUUUCUCCAUCUUUCCAGAAGUUGUUCCUAGCCUAACAUGUGGGGGAGCAAGUAAACAUCGGUUCAAUCCAUACUGGUUAUUUUUCUCUCUAGCUUUUGCUCUCGUCUUCCACGGAGGACACAUACAUAGCUCAGAAAAAACAUGGCAUUCUCCUCUCGCUCCUGAAAAUCACAUCUCAUCCAUUCUAAUCUCUCUUUAGCUCUUGAGAGAGAGAGCAUGUUUCUUCUUUUAAAUGUGCCAGCUUUAAACGCACUGAACGUGUGACAUACCUACGGGAUAUGCACUAAUAAGGAAAGGCGAAAAGCCAUGGAAACCCUAGAAACUGAGCCCAAAGUAAUUCUGUAAGGACAUCAAGCUCCAAAAAGGAGAAGAAAGCGGAAAAUGAAGGGACUGAAGCUGCUCCUGAGGGGGAAGCUGAUAAAGAAAGCCAUGACAUAGUUGAUGCUUGCCUGCAGGAACUGUUUGUAUUUAUAGUGAGAGUUGCUCUUGUGUUAAUAGGUGGAACUUAGCCUAUAGGUGCACCUUUACUUUUCUUUUAUGUUCUCUCUUUUUUUAUUUUGCUUUGUUAUUUUUUGCUUUACAUGUUGUGGAUUCCUGAUGAUAUCAAUCUAAAUGUUGUGCAUGGCACUCCUGA